rnacentral:lncRNA from 1 species
GUCCAGGAGAGGGGGGCUGGUGAUCCCUGAGAUGAGGGUGGGGGACGAGGCGAUGAGGCGGCUCUGGCUGGUGGUGGUGGGUGUGGACGGGGUGCUGGUACCCGUGCCCGUGCCCGCGCCCGCGCUUGACUCAGAAGUGCUCACAGACGGGGUCCGGGUGGACAGCCCCAGACCUGUGACGGUGCUGGUGGCCGGCCGUGCGUGCAGCGCCACGUCGGGCUGCGGCACCGCCUGUGGAUGCAGCCCCGGCACCUGCUGCAGCUUGGGCAGCGACAUGACGGCCUGGCUGCUCUCGGCGGGUGCCGGCGGCACUAGCAACGGCUGCUGCGACGAGGCCGACGUGGGCGGCAGG